rnacentral:lncRNA from 1 species
CAAAAUGGAAACCAUAAUUGGAUGGUUUGGAUAGUUGCCCUCCAGAGUGGAAGGCAGGGAUAGCAAUGUAAUCUUGAGUUACUAAUUGAAAAUGUAAUCUUGAGUUAUUGGAUUGAAGACGUAGAACUGCCAGAGGCAACGGAGCCUAGGCCUUGGCUGAAGACCGCCACACUCAACAAGUCAUAUAUCUCUGGAAGAGUAAUAACUAUCUGGAUUGAACACAUAGAACUGCAAGGGGCAACGAGUCAGAUAUAUCUGGAAACUUCAAAUGUCUCUUGUACACUCUAUCAGACGAGUCAGAUAUCUCUGGAAACUUCAAAUGUCUCUUGUACACUCUAUCAGAUUUCAAGAUGCUAGAUAUACUGGUAGGGGAUCUGAAGAUGGGUUGGAAGGGACAAGGAAUUGGAUAUGGAUUUCAAGAUGCUAGAUAUACUGAUAGGGGAUCUGAAGAUGGGUUGGAAGGGACAAGGAAUUGGAUAUGGAUUUCAAGAUACUAGAUAUACUAAUAGGGGAUCUGAAGAUGGGUUGGAAGGGGCAAGGAAUUGGAUAUAGAUGAAGUAGAGAGAAGGGCAAUAUCUUUAGAAACUUCAAAUGUGUCUUGUACACAUAUUUCAAGAUGUUGAAUAUACUGAUAGGAAAGAAACCAGUAGCAAAUGGAUCUGAAGAUGGGUUGGAAGGGGCAAGGAAUUGGAUAUGGAUACAACGAGUCAGAUAUCGCUGGAAACUUCAAAUGUCUCUUGUACACUCUAUCAGAUUUCAAGAUGCUAGAUAUACUGAUAGGGAAGAAACCGGUAGCAAACGGUCUUGUACACUCUAUCAGAUUUCAAGAUGCCAAGAUGCUAGAUAUAAUAUCUGAUUUCAAGAUGCCAAGAUGCUAGAUAUACUGAUAGGGAAGAAAUUGGUAGCAAACUGAUCUGAAGAUGGGUUGGAAGGGGCAAGGAAUUGGAUAUAAAUGAAGUAUGGUUGAAGACGCUAAAUAUACUGAUAGAGAAGAAUUCAUGAAUUAUAGCAAAUGGGGAUGAAUUCAUGAAUAAUAGCAAACGGAUCUGAAAAUGGGUGGGAAGGGGCAAGGAAUUGGAUAUGGAUGAAGUAUCUCUUCUACACUCUACCAGAUUUAAAGAUGUUAGAUAUACUGAUAGGGAAAAAACCGUAGGAAAGAAAGGAGUUCUUUCAUGAAUAAUAGCAAAUGAAUCUGAAAAUUGCUUGGAAGGAGCAAGGAAUUGGAUAUGGAUGAAGUAGAGAGAAGAUAAAAGUUGUUGCCAUGAUUUCCUUCUGAACUGGCCAAUAGAUUUUAUCGAAGUGCUGAAAAGACUCGGACCAGAACAUCUGGGACUUCAUCGAUUCUCUUAUUUUUACUUCCUCCGGUUGUUGUGGAUGGGGAGAAUUCAUCCAAGCUUUCUUCUAUUCUUUGUUUUUAUUCUUUUUUCUUGGCCUCCGGUUGUUGUGGUUUAUUCGGUUGUUGUGAAUGCGGAGAAUUCAUCCAAGCUCAAGCUCUUCUUUUUUUUUUUUUGGCUUCCUUCUAUUCUUUUUUUUUGGCCUCCGGUUGUUGUGG